rnacentral:rRNA from 1 species
AUCCUCCAAGGCUAAAUACUCCUGAUUGACCGAUAGUGAACCAGUACCGUGAGGGAAAGGCGAAAAGAACCCCGGCGAGGGGAGUGAAAUAGAACCUGAAACCGUGUACGUACAAGCAGUGGGAGCCUUGAUUUAUCAGGGUGACUGCGUACCUUUUGUAUAAUGGGUCAGCGACUUAUAUUCUGUAGCAAGGUUAACCGUAUAGGGGAGCCGUAGGGAAACCGAGUCUUAACUGGGCGAAUGAGUUGCAGGGUAUAGACCCGAAACCCGGUGAUCUAGCCAUGGGCAGGUUGAAGGUUGGGUAACACUAACUGGAGGACCGAACCGA